UGGGGAAUAUUGCACAAUGGGCGCAAGCCUGAUGCAGCCAUGCCGCGUGUAUGAAGAAGGCCUUCGGGUUGUAAAGUACUUUCAGCGGGGAGGAAGGGAGUAAAGUUAAUACCUUUGCUCAUUGACGUUACCCGCAGAAGAAGCACCGGCUAACUCCGUGCCAGCAGACGCGGUAAUACGGAGGGUGCAAGCGUUAAUCGGAAUUACUGGGCGUAAAGCGCACGCAGGCGGUUUGUUAAGUCAGAUGUGAAAUCCCCGGGCUCAACCUGGGAACUGCAUCUGAUACUGGCAAGCUUGAGUCUCGUAGAGGGGGGUAGAAUUCCAGGUGUAGCGGUGAAAUGCGUAGAGAUCUGGAGGAAUACCGGUGGCGAAGGCGGCCCCCUGGACGAAGACUGACGCUCAGGUGCGAAAGCGUGGGGAGCAAACAGG
rnacentral:rRNA from 1 species